AUAAUUUGUUGUAACGUGUUAACCUAAUUUCCUUUUUCCUUUCUAAUUUCCUUUUUUUCUUCAAUAUUUCCAUUUUUUUUAGGGUUAAUUUGUAAACUAGUCACUUUUUUAAACUUAAUUAGAAAAGUAGUCACUUUACUAUUCAUAAUUUGCAAAAUAGUCACUUUUCACUGUUUGAUUCGUACACUUAGAUUGUACACCACUUUUAGUGUACAAAUAUAUAUAAAAAUACACAGCGUACACUUUAUAUUUGUACACUAAAAGUGAUAGUACAAUCCAAGUGUACGAAUCAAACAGUGAAAAGUGACUAUUUUGCAAAUUAUGAAUAGUAAAGUGACUACUUUCCUAAUUAAGUUUGAAAAAGUGACUAUUUUGCCAACAUACCCUUUUUUUUAACACCAAAUCAAUAUUUCCAUUUUUCUUUAACGUUC
rnacentral:sRNA from 1 species